ensembl:lncRNA
GAUGCCGUACUCUCCGCCGCAGCAGAGCCACCGUCGGGCCGAUCGGGGCGAGGCUCGGUGACGUUGCAGACGGGGGAGGGUCCUACCGUCCCCCAGCGUUUCAGGUCUCCCUGACUUACCAAAGCCGAGAUGGGCGUGGCCAUGUCCCGCUUCCUCCCCGCUGCACCAUUGCAGCAUCGCUUCUCGGCCUUUUGGCUAAGAUCAAGUGUAGUAUCUGUUCUUAUCAGUUUAAUAUCUGAUACGUCCCCUACCCGGGGACUACAUAUUAAAUUGAUUUUUUUUGGGUCACGGAGCUGGAGCCGGGGCUUGCUCUGUCCACUCCACGCAUCGGCCUGGUAUUGCAGUGUUUCCAGGAACGGUGUGCUUCCCUUUUCAGGGAUUGCUGCUUAUUGUGAUGAAUAACAGAAAAAAAGGAAUGAGGGGCUUUAUGGGCGUGGCCAUGUCCCGCUUCCUCCCCGCUGCACCACUGCAGCAUCGCUUCUCGGCCUUUUGGCUAAGAUCAAGUGUAGCGACGAUGGC